rnacentral:rRNA from 1 species
CGCGGCGUAUUAACUAGUUGGUAGGGUAACGGCCUACCAAGGUGAUGAUACGUAGCCGAGUUGAGAGACUGAUCGGCCACAAUGGGACUGAGACACGGCCCAUACUCCUACGGGAGGCAGCAGUAGGGAAUCUUCCACAAUGGGCGCAAGCCUGAUGGAGCAACGCCGCGUGAAUGAAGAAGGUCUUCGGAUCGUAAAAUUCUGUUGUUAGAGAAGAAUAUGAGUAAUAGUAACUGAUUAUUCACUGACGGUAUCUAACCAGCAAGUCACGGCUAACUACGUGCCAGCAGCCGCGGUAAUACGUAGGUGGCAAGCGUUGUCCGGAUUUAUUGGGCGUAAAGGGAACGCAGGCGGUUUUUUAAGUCUGAUGUGAAAGCCUUCGGCUUAACCGGAGAUGUGCAUUGGAAACUGGAAGACUUGAGUGCAGAAGAGGAGAGUGGAACUCCAUGUGUAGCGGUGAAAUGCGUAGAUAUAUGGAAGAACACCAGUGGCGAAAGCGGCUCUCUGGUCUGUAACUGACGCUGAGGUUCGAAAGCAUGGGUAGCGAACAGGAUUAGAUACCCUGGUAGUCCAUGCCGUAAACGAUGAAUGCUAGGUGUUGGAGGGUUUCCGCCCUUCAGUGCCGCAGCUAACGCAAUAA